GAUGAACGCUGGCGGCGUGCCUAAUACAUGCAAGUCGAGCGAACGGACGAUAAGCUUUCUUCUCUGAUGUUAGCGGCGGACGGGUGAGUAACGCGUGGAUAACCUACCUAUAAUACGGGGAUAACUUCGUGAAACCGGAUCUAAUACCGCAUGAUAUUUUGAACCGCAUGGUUCAAGAGUUAAAGACGCUCUUGCUGUCACUUAUAGAUGGAUCCGCGCUGCAUUAGCUAGUUGGUAAGGUAACGGCUUACCAAGGCAACGAUGCAUAGCCGACCUGAGAGGGUGAUCGGCCACACUGGAACUGAGACACGGUCCAGACUCCUACGGGAGGCAGCAGUAGGGAAUAUUCCGCAAUGGGCGAAAGCCUGACGGAGCAACGCCGCGUGAGUGAUGAAGGUCUUCGGAUCGUAAAGCUCUGUUAUUAGGGAAGAACAUAUGUGUAAGUAAAUGUGCACAUCUUGACGGUACCUAAUCAGAAAGCCACGGCUAACUACGUG
rnacentral:rRNA from 1 species